rnacentral:rRNA from 1 species
CCUACGGGUGGCAGCAGUGGGGAAUAUUGGACAAUGGGCGAAAGCCUGAUCCAGCCAUGCCGCGUGUGUGAAGAAGGCCUUCGGGUUGUAAAGCACUUUCAGUGGGGAAGAAAGCCUUGGGGCUAAUACCCUCGAGGAAGGACAUCACCCACAGAAGAAGCACCGGCUAACUCCGUGCCAGCAGCCGCGGUAAUACGGAGGGUGCGAGCGUUAAUCGGAAUUACUGGGCGUAAAGCGCGCGUAGGCGGUCUGAUAAGCCGGUUGUGAAAGCCCCGGGCUCAACCUGGGAACGGCAUCCGGAACUGUCAGGCUAGAGUGCAGGAGAGGAAGGUAGAAUUCCCGGUGUAGCGGUGAGAUGCGUAGAGAUCGGGAGGAAUACCAGUGGCGAAGGCGGCCUUCUGGACUGACACUGACGCUGAGGUGCGAAAGCGUGGGUAGCAAACAGGAUUAGAUACCCCGGUAGUC